rnacentral:sRNA from 1 species
GGGCCAGCCGCAGUAUCCCUCAGGUCCUACUCCCCAAGAGGCCAUCCCCAGGGAGCUCAUGCUGCGGGGCUCUGAGCACGCCCACCUGCUGGCCCCUGUACGACGAACGCCCCGGACCAGCCGAUGGUCCGGGGCGUUCGCUU